GCGCCUGUAGCAUAACGGUCGAUGCAUCUGUCUUAUAAGCAGACGAUAGGUGGUUCAAUUCCACCCAGGCGCAC
rnacentral:tRNA from 1 species